CUUUUGUAUAGAAAACAUCUUUUGCUAUAAUAAUAAUAAGAUGCAUUAACAAUUGCUCUUAAUUUCAGGGUGAUCGAGGUUUCCCAGGUCCUCCAGGUAGAAGAGGUGCUCCAGGCAUUCCAGGUAUUCCUGGCAUCAAAGGAGAUAAGGUCAGUCAUUUACACCAUAUUAUCUGAAAUAGUUAUUGGAAAUCAAGACUUAAUGUUUGCUGCUGGAAAUGAGUACUUGAUGUCAUCAUUCACAGAAAACAGGUUUAUAUUCCAGAAGUACAACAAAUUUUGUCUCUCAUUCAAAACUGUAUUAUUUUUUUCCCUGUUCCUUUAACUACAUUUAUUGGAUGUUAAGAAUUUAUGUCUUUCAAGCACACAAAGAAUUAAGCCCCUCCUCAAAUAGCUUAUGGAAUUCACAUGGAAAGCUACAAAUGCACUGGAAAGAUGUUAAAGAUGGAAAAAAAAAGUAUAGAAAAACUGAAAAAAUGUUCAGGACUGUGGAUAGGACGACAAAGUAGAUCUGAAAUGAAAACUACUCCUAAUACAGAGAACUUGGAUGCCUAAAAAAAUUAUAUUUCAUUUAAUAAAAUCAUUUUAAAAUAUAGAAUUAUCUGUAGUGGACACUUAUCAUUGUCUCACAGAUCUGAUGUUGAUUAUUUUCCUAUAUACUUUGUUAUAAGAUUUGAAGCCUAAGAUCCAGUAAAAAGUUCUACAAGCGUAUCUUUCUAUCUGAUUUAUCUGGUUGUCCAGGGGUGCCCUGCAGAUGGAUAUGACCAAGGAUAUGGUGCAAAAGGUGAUCCUGGAUUGCCAGGAAUGCCUGGACCUCAGGGUGCUCAGGGUGUUCAAGGAUAUCCUGGGGAAACUGGACCACGGGGUCUCCCGGGAACUUCAGGAAUACCAGGGAGACCAGGACCUCCUGGACCUAAGGGUCUUAUGGGAAUGAAAGUAAUAGGAACCAAAGGAAGAAAGGGAGACACUGGAUUAACUGGACCCCCUGGACCACCAGGAACUGUUAUCGUGACAUUAAGUGGACCAGACAACAUGACGGACUUGAAAGGAGAAAAAGGAGAAAAAGGAUCAAGAGGACUUCCAGGGCCAAUGGGAUUUGCGGGGCCAACUGGUGAUUCUCAGAGUGAAAAGGGUGACCGAGGAGAACCUGGGGCACAGGGUAAACCUGGUAAAGAAGGUGCUCCGGGUCUACCUGGAUUGCCGGGACAAAAUGGUGAACAGGGCAAACCAGGACUGGCUGGCAGACAAGGAGCUAAGGUAUUGGUUAAUGCUUUUAUUGUUAAUUUUGAGGAUGAGGAUAAUGUAUGUUUGAAGGUUAGUAUAUUAGUACAUAUAUUGGUAUAUAUACUGAACAGUUGUUUUGGGAACAGAAACAGUUCUGGAAUAGAAGUCCUUUAA
rnacentral:lncRNA from 1 species